GCUAAAAAUAAUGCAAUAUCACAAAUUAGAUGCAUAUAUUUCCAUUUGAUUUUAAUGUUUGUAAAUUUCAUAAAGUUUAACCAACUCAUUUCAGUUUUGAUUGAAAUUAGAAAGAACAAGAAAAAUGUGGUGAAAAAACUUUAAUUGUUUUUGGACCAAUUUCGAUUAAAACCGAAAGCAACUAAAAACUUUAAAAAUGUACAAAAUAUUUAAGAGUUCUCAAGUCGGCUGUUACCGACUAAGCUAGACUUUAACCCUGAACCCAGAGUGAAACGAUUCUUAUAUAAUUUUCUUACCAAAUUAAUACAAAUAAAAUUAUUCAAUUAUGUACGAAUCUCUUCAUACAUAACAUUACACAAUACUCUAAGGCUGAAGACAUUCAUAAAUCGACAUUUUUCAAUCCACCAUUUACGCUACAUUCAUAAUCAGACUACUCCACUUUUUAGAUCAAAAUAUUGGAAAUACAUCACAUGUAACGCAACUAAUAUAUGAAUGAACGUGCUGCCAUUGUAGUGGAAUAAUAUAAAAUUGUAUCUUAAUUUCACAAUGGAAACCCUUUGGUUUAUAUAUAGACUUGGCCAUCCGAAGUUUCUGGAACUGUAUGUUGAACCACCAACAAAUAGUUUUUCUCUUCAAAAGUCGGUACCCUGUUUAGUUUUUCCAGGUCUUUUAUACUCUAAUAUUUGCCCAACUUUUUACUCGUUUUAGGGGUUUCGGGGUAUGAAGACUAUAAAGAAGCAUUCUUAUUUUGUAUAUAUAUAUAAUAAAUUUACAAGCUUUAAAGAUUGUAUUGAAAAUCUUUUUGAAGCAAUUAUAACUUAAAUGCUUUAAAGAAUUUUCAAAAUAAUGAUAUCCAAUUCUGAAAUAAUCGCCUUUAGCGAUGGCUUGAAAUAAUAUACCUCAAAAAGCGAAAAAUAUUGUUGUCAAAUCCUCAUAGUUCAAGAUUAAUAUACUGGCAUAUAUAAUCAGUGGAUUCAGAGUAUUGGAAUGUAUCACUAAUCGUGUAUGUACCACUAGCUUUGCGCAUCGGCAUUAAAGACACCUCAUUGAAGCAAUAAAUAUUCGAAUUGAUAUAAGAAUAUUCAAUAAAGUACGAUUCAUUGCUAACUCUAUCGUCUUUUGUGAUACCAUCCCUAAGUCUAUAUCCUCCUCAUAAGGCGUCCACUUUUAUAUUAUAUCAGCACUUACCCUAUAUAGCUUAUGACCUCGAAGAGUAUUCACAA